CCUACGGGGCGCAGCAGUGGGGAAUAUUGGACAAUGGGCGAAAGCCUGAUCCAGCCAUGCCGCGUGUGUGAAGAAGGCCUUCGGGUUGUAAAGCACUUUCAGUGGGGAAGAAAGCCUUGGGGCUAAUACCCUCGAGGAAGGACAUCACCCACAGAAGAAGCACCGGCUAACUCCGUGCCAGCAGCCGCGGUAAUACGGAGGGUGCGAGCGUUAAUCGGAAUUACUGGGCGUAAAGCGCGCGUAGGCGGUCUGAUAAGCCGGUUGUGAAAGCCCCGGGCUCAACCUGGGAACGGCAUCCGGAACUGUCAGGCUAGAGUGCAGGAGAGGAAGGUAGAAUUCCCGGUGUAGCGGUGAAAUGCGUAGAGAUCGGGAGGAAUACCAGUGGCGAAGGCGGCCUUCUGGACUGACACUGACGCUGAGGUGCGAAAGCGUGGGUAGCAAACAGGAUUAGUACCCCAGUAGUC
rnacentral:rRNA from 1 species